rnacentral:rRNA from 1 species
UACGUAGGGUGCGAGCGUUGUCCGGAAUUAUUGGGCGUAAAGAGCUUGUAGGCGGUUUGUCGCGUCUGCCGUGAAAAUUCGAGGCUCAACCUCGAACUUGCGGUGGGUACGGGCAGACUAGAGUGUGGUAGGGGAGACUGGAAUUCCUGGUGUAGCGGUGAAAUGCGCAGAUAUCAGGAGGAACACCCGUGGCGAAAGCGGCUCUCUGGGACGGUACUGACGCUGAGACGCGAAAGCGUGGGGAGCAAACAGG